rnacentral:tRNA from 1 species
GGGGAUAUAGCUCAGUUGGUAGAGUGUUUGCCUCAAAUGCACAAGGCCCUGGGUUCAAUCCCCAGCAUAUCACCA